GACGAACGCUGGCGGCGUGCUUAACACAUGCAAGUCGAACGGAAAGGCCCCUUUGGGGGUACUCGAGUGGCGAACGGGUGAGUAACACGUGAGUAACCUGCCCUUGACUUCGGGAUAACUUCAGGAAACUGGGGCUAAUACCGGAUAGGAAUCCUUGCUGCAUGGUGGGGGUUGGAAAGCUUCGGUGGUUUUGGCUGGACUCGCGGCUUAUCAGCUUGUUGGUGGGGUAGUGGCUUACCAAGGCUUUGACGGGUAGCCGGCCUGAGAGGCGACCGGCCACAUUGGGACUGAGAUACGGCCCAGACGCCUACGGGAGGCAGCAGUGGGGAAUAUUGCACAAUGGGCGGAAGCCUGAUGCAGCAACGCCGCGUGCGGGAUGACGGCCUUCGGGUUGUAAACCGCUUUCAGCAGGGGCGAAGCUUGUGGUGACGGUACCUGCAGAAGAAGCACCGGCUAACUACGUG
rnacentral:rRNA from 1 species